rnacentral:rRNA from 1 species
GAGUUUGAUCCUGGCUCAGGAUGAACGCUAGCGGGAGGCUUAAUACAUGCAAGUCGAGCGGCAAGUUUUGAUAGCAAUAUUGGAACCUAGAGCGGCGCACGGGUGAGUAACGCGUACAUGACCUGCCCUAUACUGGGGGAUAGUCUUGGGAAACUGAGAAUAAUCCCGCAUGUGAUUAGAAUGCUGCAUGGCAAAUUAAUUAAAGCUGAGGCGGUAUAGGAUGGGUGUGCGUCUGAUUAGCUAGUUGGUAGUGUAACGGACUACCAAGCCUGCGAUCAGUAGCUGAUGUGAGAGCAUGAUCAGCCACACGGGCACUGAGACACGGGCCCGACUCCUACGGGAGGCAGCAGUAAGGAAUAUUGGACAAUGGUCGCAAGACUGAUCCAGCCAUGUCGCGUGCAGGAUGAACGAUCUAUGAUCUGUAAACUGCUUUUGUUCGGGAAUAAACCCCUUCACGUGUGGAGGGCUGAAUGUACCGAAAGAAUAAGGGUCGGCUAACUUCGUGCCAGCAGCCGCGGUAAUCC